rnacentral:misc_RNA from 1 species
AUAUUUUUUUCCAUUUUCUCCAUAUUUUUUCAUGAAAAAAAUGGCUAAUCAUUUUUUUCUGUAAUAAGUUUACCGCUUUUUAUGGAAAAUUCAGAGAAUAACGAAAAAGAUAAUCGCGGUAAUAAUCGACGAUUUUGUGCUCGGAAUUAAAAAAACACAAUUGAAUUGUUCAUUCAAUAAUUUUGAAAGAACAUUUGAAAAUGAAAAUUUUGACCCCUCGUCCAUUAGAUUUACUUUUGAUUGUUUAACGGGUCGUAAAGCGUAAGCACAAAAGAUAAUAAAUUUUUCCAAAAUUUCGAAGUAAAAAUGUCAAAAAUAUCGAUUGAUAAGCCCUAUGCCAUGAAUAAAAAAUGCAUAACUCCCGUCUUUUUGCCCUGCGGGCAGUCGGGAGUUGAAAAAAAUGAAAAAAAAGAUCAGUAAAAUAAAAAAUCGAAGUGAGGUACAUAGCGACUGGUUUGCGUGGAUGCCCUCCUAUAUACACACAUUUUCUAAAACUUUUUUGACUGAACAAGUUUUAUUACAUCUGAUGGUCUCCGUCGGAGCCGAUUUCCCCUCUAAAACUUACAAAACAUAUUUAAUCGUACCAUUCCUUUAUCUUCAAAUGUUAAAACUUAUUUACAUAUAUACGUCGUAUCUGCAUGUAUAUACGGUAUAUACUAUCCACGUAACAGUUUUUAUUUGAUUCCAUUUUCUGUAUUAUAAGCGACCCAACUGGUAACUGGUCUUCAGUCGGUCUCCUGUAAUGCGAGAAAGCAUGACUAAAUGUCAAACUCUCACGGAUUUUUGAUAUACAAUCCACUUAUUAUUAUAAUAAUUGAAAGAUUUUUGUAAAUAAAUAUAAAUAUGGCUUUUACUCUCAGAAAAUUUAGUGGACUUAUUUUCCGAGUUGGUACCAGAUGCCGAAAUUUCGAACAAAUCAACAUCACAAGAGUGUCCACCCUCAAUUUUUCCAUAAAAGCUGAACCGACACAUACCGAUGGAGAUACCCCCAAAGUUCCUGCCCCUAAAGGAGAUGGGAAAGUAUUCACAUCUAUGUCAACGAUAGUCUCAGACAUUCCUGAUGGUGCUAAACUUUUGGUUGGAGGUUUUGGCCUCUGUGGCAUACCCGAAAACCUAAUCAAAGCAAUUUUAAAAAAGGGAUCUAAAGAUCUCAUUGUCGUUUCAAAUAAUGCUGGAAUAGAGGAUGCCGGUCUUGGUUUGUUGUUACAAGAGCACAGAAUUAAGAGAAUGAUUUCUUCUUAUGUCGGAGAAAAUGCUAACUUUGAACAGCAGUAUCUCAGUGGACAGCUAGAAGUCGAAUUAACUCCGCAGGGCACCUUGGCAGAAAGACUGAGAGCGGGAGGUGCAGGAAUCCCAGCAUUUUAUACGCCAACAGGAUUCGGUACUAUUAUACAAGAGGGCAAUGUUGUUGUGAAGUACGACGAUGCAGGCAACGCUGACAUAUCAGGUGAUCCGAGAAGCGUGCAACAGUUUAACGGCCGAGAUUACGUGAUGGAGACUGCGAUAACAGGCGAUUACGCUAUGAUCAAAGCGUGGAAAGCUGACAAAGCGGGAAAUUUGAUAUUUAGAAAAACAGCAAGAAAUUUCAAUCCGGUAAUGUGUAAAGCAGCGAAAAUAACGAUCGUCGAAGUAGAAGAAAUUGUGGAGAUAGGUCAACUGGAUCCUGAUCAAAUUCACGUGCCAGGGAUUUAUGUUGAUCGCAUUAUUCAGGGCCAGACAUACGAGAAGAGAAUCGAGCGAGUAACUACGAAUAAAAUGAUAAAAACAAAAAAAUCGACACCUGCCAGUAAGGCGAGAGAUAGAAUCAUCAAACGAGCAGCUCUUGAGUUCAAAAAUGGAAUGUAUGUGAAUCUUGGAAUUGGCAUGCCCAUGAUGACUAGCAAUUUCAUACCGAAAAGUAUAAAAGUGACACUACAGUCCGAGAACGGAAUAUUGGGUCUUGGACCAUAUCCCUCCGAAGAUCAAGUAGAUGCUGAUCUGAUCAAUGCUGGCAAGGAAUCGGUGACCGUUCUACCAGGGGCAUCGUACUUCGGCAGCGAAGAUAGUUUUGCAAUGAUUCGUGGCGGUCACAUCGACUUGACGAUUCUCGGAGGUAUGCAAGUUUCCCAAAAUGGUGAUCUGGCGAAUUGGAUGAUACCGGGUACAAUGGUCAAAGGAAUGGGAGGAGCAAUGGACCUUGUAUCAGCAGCAGAGACGAGGGUCGUUGUCACAAUGGAGCACAAAGCGCGUGACGGAAGUCCAAAAAUUUUGCCAAGUUGUACAUUACCGGUGACAGGUCAACAAUGCGUCGAUCUGAUAAUCACAGAUUUGGCAGUGUUCGAGGUUGAAAAAGGCGAAGGUUUGAAACUUAUUGAAAUUGCACCGAACGUCGAUAUAAGCGAAAUAGUAAGCUCGACCGGUUGCGAAUUUUCCGUUUCCGAUGACCUUAAGGUGAUGGGUCAAGUCUCAAUUGACGAUGAGAGUUGAAUUUUACCGAGGAUCGUUUUUUUAUUUCCAUGUACAUAACCACGUACGUGACUUGGAUCCUUGACCUAACUUCCUUAUGCUUUAGACAAGGAAAAACCUUCCGAUAUGACCUGAGAGACGAGAACAACGCCUCGGGCAAAGGCAAUAAAUAAAGUACGCUAUUGAGAAUAACGAGUCCCAGGGCGAAGGCCAGUGAAACAAGCAGAUUGAGAUCGGCGUCCAAUACGUCCAUUGUAUUUCCACCGUCGCGUGUGAAUCUCUUAU